UACGUAGGUAGCAAGCGUUGUUCGGAGUUACUGGGCGUAAAGGGUGCGUAGGCGGCUCUGUAAGUAUGGUGUGAAAUCUCCCGGCUUAACUGGGAGGGUGCGCUAUAGACUGCGGGGCUCGAGUGUGGGAGAGGAAAGUGGAAUUCCUGGUGUAGCGGUGAAAUGCGUAGAUAUCAGGAGGAACACCGGUGGUGUAAACGGCUUUCUGGACCAUAACUGACGCUGAGGCACGAAAGCGUGGGUAGCAAACAGG
rnacentral:rRNA from 1 species